AACUGUCAAACACACAAACCUAUAAAGAGCCUCAGUGUAAAUAUGUUGUUAGUUUGUUCCUCUAAAUGUGACUCUUGGACGGUCGCUAGGAUUUUUGUAAAGACAUGGUUUAUACAGGUAUAUCAAACUCUGUUUUUAGGUUGUAGGUCAUUUAAAAAAUACUUUCUAAAUUUUUUUUUUUAACUUUUGUGUUAGAUCACACGCUCAUGGGCUCCAUUUCAGAUACAGAUAUGCUGGAUUGAUUGGGGAGGCGGAUAUUGUAACAGGACUGGGCUCAGCUUCUAAGGGCAGCAAGCUAGUGGAAAGCCAAAGAUAGAAUCUCCGUGGUGCAACCUCAAUAGGAAAACAUCUCACAGUUGACAGAAGUGACAACCCUGCCCCAAAUUUUGUCACAUAAGUUAUUAAAAAUAGGUGAGUAUGUUUACUAUGUUUGUUUUAUUAAUUUAAAAAAAUCUGUCUUUCAGGAGGUAAAGGUGUUAUUGGAGCUCGCAUACCAAUACGCAGAAGGACGUGGAGAAAUGAGAGGAGGUGCAGGGGCCUAUACACUAGGGUUCUUUUGUAAAACAUUUACACCUGUGUUAGAAUUAUUAACCUUAAUAAAA